rnacentral:rRNA from 1 species
UACGAAGGGGACUAGCGUUGUUCGGAUAUACUGGGCGUAAAGCGCACGUAGGCGGCGCCGUAAGUCAGGGGUGAAAUCCCGGAGCUCAACUCCGGAACUGCCCUUGAAACUGCAGUGCUAGAAUCUUGGAGAGGCGAGUGGAAUUCCGAGUGUAGAGGUGAAAUUCGUAGAUAUUCGGAAGAACACCAGUGGCGAAGGCGACUCGCUGGACAAGUAUUGACGCUGAGGUGCGAAAGCGUGGGGAGCAAACAGG